UACGAAGGUGGCAAGCGUUGUUCGGAUUUACUGGGCGUACAGGGAGCGUAGGCGGUUGGGUAAGCCCUCCGUGAAAUCUCCGGGCCUAACCCGGAAAGUGCGGAGGGGACUGCUCGGCUAGAGGAUGGGAGAGGAGCGCGGAAUUCCCGGUGUAGCGGUGAAAUGCGUAGAGAUCGGGAGGAAGGCCGGUGGCGAAGGCGGCCGCCUGGUUGGAUACUGACGCUGAGACGCGAAAGCGUGGGGAGCAAACAGGAUU
rnacentral:rRNA from 1 species